rnacentral:rRNA from 1 species
AUUGAACGCUGGCGGCAGGCCUAACACAUGCAAGUCGAGCGCGCGGCGGACGGGUGAGUCAUGUCUGGGGAACUGCCUCUUAGAGGGGGGUAACUACUCGAAACGGUAGCUAAUACCGCAUACCCUCCGAUGUGCCCCGAUGGGAUUAGCUAGUGGGUGGGGUAACUGCUCACCUAGGCGACGAUCCCUAGCUGGUCUGAGAGGAUGACCAGCCACACUGGAACUGAGACACGGUCCAGACUCCGACGGGAGGCAGCAGUGGGGAAUAUUGCACAAUGGGCGCAAGCCUGAUGCAGCCAUGCCGCGUGUGUGAAGAAGGCCUUCGGGUUGUAAAGUUCUUUCGGUGACGAGGCGUUAAUCACAGAAGAAGCACCGGCUAACUCCGUGCCAGCAGCCGCGGUAAUUC